rnacentral:rRNA from 1 species
UACAGAGACUGCAAGCGUUAUUCGGAUUCACUGGGCGUAAAGGGUGCGCAGGCGGCUAUGUGUGUGAGGCGUGAAAGCCCGGGGCUUAACCCCGGAAUUGCACCUCAAACUACAUGGCUAGAGCAUUGGAGAGGGUAGCGGAAUUCACGGUGUAGCAGUGAAAUGCGUAGAUAUCUGGAGGAAUACCGGUGGCGAAGGCGGCAUCCUGGACCAUUUCUGACGCUGAGGCGCGAAAGCUAGGGGAGCAAACGGG